GUCUAAUGUCAUCUCACAUCGCUGAUCAUUGAGCGAGACAUGCGCUCCAAGCGGAGAGAUUUAUAACUGCAAUUACAAUGCCUCAGCCGGUCAUUUUUGCGACUGUUCUACUUCGACAGACUUUCCUCCUUAUCUCUACUCUCCCUGGAAGUAACGAAAUGUCACUUCAAGUGACACUGUUUUUCCCUCCUUUUUCGUUUGGCGCCUGUUGUGUCGUACGCGUCCUCCGUGAUUGUGCUCUAUGUGAUUAAUAAUAACACCUAUUCGUUUCAUGGAAAAGCGAAAACAUGUACUCGGUGAUAAAAUUUACUGAAAAAGACGGCGGAACCGUAUCAUUAGUGAACAACCAGUGGUUUACGCCAAGGAGAUGCGAAUAUCAAAUUCUACGGACAUCACUCGGCAGUUCGUGGUCCCGGCCGCCAUCAUGCUUUGUACUGCUGCUCCAGCUAUCCUCCAGUGCAACUUGAAGGCCUAAUCCAUGCACACAUCGGUGUUUUUUUAUAUCUAUGUAAUACACUUGUCAUUGGCGAAGGUCCACGAGGCUGCCAUAUUGAAUAGAGAGAAAUUCUUUAAGGGCCAGUGAUCGAGCCAUGCUAAUUUGAAAUCGCGAGUACCUAUUUCGUAUAAUCACAUUAUUUUCAUAAAAUGACUUGAGGACCCCUUCCAUUGACAUGAAUGCACGGAACUACAAGCCGGCUUCUUUUCUGCGUUGGGUAUGUUUCACAUUUGUACGCCCAUGAUUUUAACCCUCGCCAAGGGUUGGUAAAAGCCUCAGGGUCAUUGUUUCUUUUAAAACCUAUUUCAGGGUUCUUCGAUUUGGAGGUUACGUUCAAAGGUAGCGCGGAGCUGAUGCUUCCCGAGCCUGAACCGGUGGACAGGAGGCUGUGGCGACUGGGAUGGAAGAGCUUCCAUUCCUGUAGCUGCAGCUUCCACCUCCCCUAAAUUCUGUUACAUGUCACCAAGGUCAAGAUGACCUAGAGAAAGCAAAAAAAAUACUGAAACUGGUUGAGGAUACAUCAGACUUACAGACUGAAGCCGAAACAGAACCAAGUCUUAAACGUAAAAUGCAAAAAAGAUAUGUUUCUAGCAGCAGUGACGAAGAUGAACAGUGAAAAAGAAAUAAACAACCACUUCAAGCUGCUGACAAUGAAGGAGAUUAUGGAGAUAGUCGUCAAGCUCAGCCAAACAUUGCCCAAGAAACCGCUUCAAUAGCAGAAAGAACCCUCUCAUUACUGACUGUAGCAGAUGAGCUUCCCAUCUUGACAAACAGUGACAACAGACUGCAAGAUUUGGCAGAAGACGGCGACGGACGGU